UAGGGAAUCUUCCGCAAUGGGCGAAAGCCUGACGGAGCAACGCCGCGUGAGUGAUGAAGGUCUUCGGAUCGUAAAACUCUGUUAUUAGGGAAGAACAAAUGUGUAAGUAACUAUGCACGUCUGGACGGUACCUAAUCAGAAAGCCACGGCUAACUACGUGCCAGCAGCCGCGGUAAUACGUAGGUGGCAAGCGUUAUCCGGAAUUAUUGGGCGUAAAGCGCGCGUAGGCGGUUUUUUAAGGCUGAUGUGAAAGCCCGCGGCUCAACCGUGGAGGGUCAUUGGAAACUGGAAAACUUGAGUGCAGAAGAGGAAAGUGGAAUUCCAUGUGUAGCGGUGAAAUGCGCAGAGAUAUGGAGGAACACCAGUGGCGAAGGCGACUUUCUGGUCUGUAACUGACGCUGAUGUGCGAAAGCGUGGGGAUCAAACAGG
rnacentral:rRNA from 1 species